ACGUGAUCUGAGUUCASACCGGAGCAAUCCAGGUCAGUUUCUAUCUAUAAAGAGCUCUUUCCAGUACGAAAGGACCGAAAAAGCAUGGCCAAUACUUUAUGCAAGCCAUCUUUAAUAAUUUAUGACCACCACUCAAUAAAUAAUUUACUUCAGUUUAUCUCAAGAAAAGAGA
rnacentral:rRNA from 1 species